GCAAGCGUAGCUCAGUUGGUAGAGCACCGCACCAGGAGGUAUGUAGUAGGUUCAAAUCCUACCGCUUGCA
rnacentral:tRNA from 2 species